GUGCCAGCCGCCGCGGUAAUACGGGGGGUGCAAGCGUUGUUCGGAAUUAUUGGGCGUAAAGAGCGUGUAGGCGGCCUGAUGUGUCAGAUGUGAAAGCCCUGGGCUUAACCCAGGAAGUGCAUUUGAAACUGUCAGGCUUGAGUAGGGGAGAGGGAAGUGGAAUUCCUGGUGUAGAGGUGAAAUUCGUAGAUAUCAGGAGGAACACCGGUGGCGAAGGCGACUUCCUGGCCCUAUACUGACGCUGAGACGCGAGAGCGUGGGUAGCAAACAGGAUUAGAUACCCUUGUAGUCC
rnacentral:rRNA from 1 species